UAAGAGCUUAUUAGAACUAUUAUUUAUUUUAAGCAUUUUGAAAAAAAUACAUUUCUUUGGACAGUGAUCUUCUUCAAUCUGUGGUUCAAAGUCUACCUGAAUCUGAAGCACUUAAGAAUUUUGGGGACGCCUGGAUGGCUCAGUGGUUGAGCGUCUGCCUUUGGCUCGGGUCCUGAUCCUGGCUGGGGUCCUGGGAUCAAGUCCUGCAUGGGGCUCCCAGCAGGAAGCCUGCUUCUCUCUGCCUAUGUCUCUACUUCUCUCUCUGUGCCUCUCAUAAAUAAAUAAAAUAAAAUAAAAGAAUUUUGUGUAUUUCUUGGCUUCAUCCAGAGUGACUAGACUCAGAACCCCUGGUGCCUAUCAGCGUGAGGUGGGGUGAGGUAGAAGGGUGGAGUUGAAUAUGUUUCUAAAUCAAGCACCCCAACAAGAUUUUGAACAACUAGUGCUCUUUAUGUCUUAAUGGCAUUCCAGUCUUCCUAUUGGCCACAUCUAGCUUUAUUUAGAUUUGACCAGAGUGAAAGAGAAACAAGGACUUCUCAUCUCUUCUUAGAAUAAUCAAAAAGGCUUACAUUGAAACCUAUAGCUUUUAUGAUUUCCCACCACACUGUUAAUCAGAAAGGGUGGCUUCUGGUUCUGAUACGUCUGUUGUUUUUUUCAGAGGUGAACACUGGAAAAACAUGACUGAUUCUGUGCAACUUGGAAAAGGAAAAGUCAUCAGCUAGUCCCAUCCUUCCCACACACAAAUACAUUACAGAGAGGGCCAAGCUGGAGGUGGUGUUGUUGACAGAAACAUUGUAAGCAGAGAAGGUGAAUCAAUCCAUGGAGUAUCCCUAUCACACUGGAUGAAGCUCAGAAUUGGCCUAAAGAAAGUGGAAGUGAGAAACACACAGGCCGGUCAGAGGCACACAGCUGCCUUCUCUCCCAGCUGACUUUGGGCAACCACACAAGGCAAAGCCAGAGGAACCAAGAAAGGUAGGGACGCAGGGCCCCAGCAGUUGUGG
rnacentral:lncRNA from 1 species